AUCUUCGAUACUUGAAGGAGAGGUUGUCCGUGUUGUCUUCUCUUUAUUUAUGAUGAAACAUACACGGGAAACCUCUUUUUUAGUAUCAAAUCCCACC
ensembl:miRNA MIR494 microRNA 494